UACAGGGGAGCUUGUAGACAGGCUGAGAGGAAGUUUCGCACUUCGACCCUUAUACCUGAUUUGGAUAAUGCCAACGUAGGGAAAGAGC
rnacentral:ncRNA from 1 species